rnacentral:misc_RNA from 1 species
UACGGAGGGGGCUAGCGUUGCUCGGAAUUACUGGGCGUAAAGCGCGCGUAGGCGGACUAUUAAGUCAGGGGUGAAAUCCCGGGGCUCAACCCCGGAACUGCCCUUGAUACUGGUAGUCUGGAGUUCUGGAGAGGUGAGUGGAAUUCCAGGUGUAGCGGUGAAAUUCGUAGAUAUUCGGAGGAACGCCAGUGGCGAAGGCGGCUCACUGGCUCGAUACUGACGCUGAGGUGCGAAAGUGUGGGGAGCAAACAGG